rnacentral:pre_miRNA from 7 species
UUUUAGACACAAGAGUUGGAGGAAUUGAGCUGAAACUGAAAGACCCCCGAAGGGAGACCCUCACUCAAGCCUCGGGACAGCCGCGGACCCAAGAAGACACUGAGACCG